CAAGAACCCCAAAACCCUAGCCGCCUCUAGGCAAUUUGCACCAGAAACCCGGCGGCAACGACGCUUCCGGUCACCCCGUUAACACCGCAGAACUCCCAUCACACCCUAAAGCCAAAUCCACUAACCCAUAACCUCGAAUCAAACAGAACCUUCUUGAAUCUUCGUUUGAAGAUUCGAGCCCAGAUUCAACUCACACCAAAUCACCCCAAAU
rnacentral:lncRNA from 1 species